UUGCAUAUCCAAAAAGCGGAGGAAAAGAAACCAACAGGGAUUGCCCUAGUAACGGCGAGUGAAGCGGCAACAGCUCAAAUUUGAAAGCUGGCUCCGGCCCGCAUUGUAAUUUGCAGAGGAUGCUUCUGGUGAGGUGCCUUCCGAGUUCCCUGGAACGGGACGCCAUAGAGGGUGAGAGCCCCGUAUGGAUGGACACCAAACCUGUGUGAAGCUCCUUCAACGAGUCGAGUAGUUUGGGAAUGCUGCUCUAAAUGGGAGGUAAAUCUCUUCUAAAGCUAAAUACCGGCCAGAGACCGAUAGCGCACAAGUAGAGUGAUCGAAAGAUGAAAAGCACCUUGAAAAGGGGGUUAAACAGUACGUGAAAUUGUUGAAAGGGAAGCGCUUGUGACCAGACUUGCGCCGGGCAGCUCAUCAGGGGUUCUCCCCUGUGCACUCUGCCCGGCUCAGGCCAGCAUCGGUUCUCGUGGGAGGAUAAGAACGGUUGGAACGUGGCCCCCCUCCGGGGGGGUGUUAUAGCCUACCGUACGAUACUCCCGUGGGGACCGAGGUUCGCGCUCCGCAAGGAUGCUGGCGUAAUGGUCAUCAGCGACCCGUCUUGAACCCACGGGACCA
rnacentral:rRNA from 1 species